rnacentral:rRNA from 1 species
GAUUAACGCUGGCGGCGUGCAUAACACAUGCAAGUCGAACGAUGAAACUUAACUGAUUUCUUCGGAAUGAUUUUAAGUGGAUUAGUGGCGGACGGGUGAGUAACGCGUGAGUAACCUGCCUUGGAGAAGGGGAUAGCCUUUGGAAACGAAGAAUAAUACCCUAUGAUAUGAUAAUAUCUCAUGAUAUUAUCAUCAAAGAUUUAUCGCUCUAAGAUGGACUUGCGUCUGAUUAGUUAGUUGGUGAGGUAACAGCUCACCAAGGCAGCGAUCAGUAGCCGGCUUGAGAGAGUGUACGGCCACAUUGGGACUGAGACACGGCCCAGACUCCUCCGGGAGGCAGCAGUGGGGAAUUUUGCACAAUGGGGGAAACCCUGAUGCAGCGACGCCGCGUGAUUUAGAAGGCCUUCGGGUUGUAAAAAUCUUUUGUAUGGGAAGAAAAUGACAGUACCAUACGAAUAAGGACCGGCUAAUUACGUG